ensembl:ribozyme RNaseP_nuc Nuclear RNase P
GAAGGCCAGAUAUUCAGCACACCACUGAGUUCACAUGCAGGGUGCUUGUCACUCAGUGUUCAAUACCUCUGGGAAGGUCUGAGACAAGAGCCAUUAGCUGCCCUUGCCAGGCAUCACCUGCUGCAGGUGGAUGAGUUACCAGCUAUGUUGGGCCCUGGGUGUGGGGCAAAUUGGGCAGGGGAAGCUAGAGGAAGCCCCCCCAGUGGAUGGGUUUGGGACAGACUCAUGGCUGGCAGCACUGUGUUCAAUGAGAAGGCCAGAUAUUCAGAGCUUC